rnacentral:hammerhead_ribozyme from 1 species
AUCCAGUUGACGACUUCCAAAUAGGACGAAACGCUCAUCCUGGAU